rnacentral:rRNA from 1 species
GAAUUUUGGACAAUGGGCGAACGCCUGCUCCAGCAAUGCCGCGUGCAGGAUGAAGGCCUUCGGGUUGUAACCUGCUUUUGUCCGGAACGAACAGUCUCGGGAUUCUACACUGGGCCCAUUACGGGAACCUUAGACUAAGCACCGGCUACCUCCCUGCCAGCAUCCGCGGUAAUACGGAGGGUGCAAGCGUGAAUCGGAAUGACUGGGCGUAAAGCGUGCGCAGGCGGUUAUAGAAGACAGAUGGGAAAGCCCCGGGCUCAAACUGGGAACUGCAUUUGGGACUGUAUAGCGAGAGGACGGGAGAGGGGGAUGGAAUUCCGCGGGUAGCAGUGAAAUGCGUAGAUAGGCGGAGGAACACCGAUGGCGAAGGCAAUCCCCUGGACCUGUACUGACGCUCAUGCACGAAAGCGUGGGGAGCAAACAG